rnacentral:rRNA from 1 species
GCAAGGAAUUUUGCGCAAUGGGCGAAAGCCUGACGCAGCGACGUCGCGUGGGGGAUGAAGGUCUUCGGAUUGUAAACCCCUUUUCAUAGGGAAGAAUAAUGACGGUACCUGUGGAAUAAGUCUCGGCUAACUACGUGCCAGCAGCCGCGGUAAUACGUAGGAGGCGAGCGUUAUCCGGAUUUACUGGGCGUAAAGAGGACGCAGGCGGCUUUUCAAGUCAGAUGUAAAAUCUCCUGGCUCAACUGGGAGGGACCAUCUGAUACUGUUGGGCUUGAGUGCAGCAGAGGGAAGCGGAAUUCCCGGUGUAGUGGUGAAAUACGUAGAUAUCGGGAGGAACACCAGUGGCGAAAGCGGCUUUCUAGGCUGUUACUGACGCUGAGGUCCGAAAGCGUGGGGAGCGAACAGGAUUAGAAACCCGAGUAGUCC